AUUGAACGCUGGCGGCAGGCCUAACACAUGCAAGUCGAGCGGAUGAAGGGAGCUUGCUCCUGGAUUCAGCGGCGGACGGGUGAGUAAUGCCUAGGAAUCUGCCUGGUAGUGGGGGAUAACGUCCGGAAACGGGCGCUAAUACCGCAUACGUCCUGAGGGAGAAAGUGGGGGAUCUUCGGACCUCACGCUAUCAGAUGAGCCUAGGUCGGAUUAGCUAGUUGGUGGGGUAAAGGCCUACCAAGGCGACGAUCCGUAACUGGUCUGAGAGGAUGAUCAGUCACACUGGAACUGAGACACGGUCCAGACUCCUACGGGAGGCAGCAGUGGGGAAUAUUGGACAAUGGGCGAAAGCCUGCUCCAGCCAUGCCGCGUGUGUGAAGAAGGUCUUCGGAUUGUAAAGCACUUUAAGUUGGGAGGAAGGGCAGUAAGUUAAUCCCUUGCUGUUUUGACGUUACCAACAGAAUAAGCACCGGCUAACUUCGUG
rnacentral:rRNA from 1 species